rnacentral:tRNA from 1 species
AAUAAGGUGCCUGAAUUAUAGGGCUACCUUGAUAGGGUAGAAAAUGCAACUUUAACCCUGCCCUUAUUA